AAACGGUGGUGCAGUAUUCUAGUCGGUACUGCCGGUUUCGAAGACGGGCCUAAAAAUCCGUUAAAGGGCAUAUCGAUGAAGUUUCUGGUGUUGGCUGCUGACGCCCAGUCGGGAGCUGAUGCUGGGAGUUAAGGAAGAGGGGCGAUCCGUAAUGGCAUACGGGCGAAUGACCCAGCUUCCGUGGAGACCCUGUAGGUUGUUUGACGAAACGAAAGAGCUACUGAAUGGGAUUAAACCUGCUAUGCGGUUCGCAGCUGUGUGCAGUGUAGCCUGCCUUGCGUUGGCGCAGAGGGAUAGGAGGAGCGUAGGCCAUUUCAGGCCAGAAGUGGUUUACACGCCUGUACUCCUUGAAACUGCGGAUGGCAAAAGAGGAUAGAAACCGGAAUUGUGCUGUUGAGGAAAGCUCCUAGACUGUUUUUAUAAGGUGCGUUAGGGAUUAUAGUGUGGUCUAAACGGCAAUCCAGUCAUGCGUAAGGCGACUUUGCAUUAUGGGCUUUAAAGGGAAACCGCUUCUAUCGGCGACGGGAAGUAGUUCAUAGGGAAAUCCUACUGGACCUAAGCUGCAAGGUCUAUCUAACGUAUCACCACCGAUUAAAAA
rnacentral:sRNA from 1 species